GAUGAAGAACGUAGCGAAAUGCAAUAAGUAAUGUGAAUUGCAGAAUUCAGUGAAUCAUCGAAUCUUUGAACGCACAUUGCGCCCCCUGGUAUUCCGGGGGGCAUGCCUGUCCGAGCGUCAUUACAACCCUCAAGCUCAGCUUGGUGUUGGGCCCCGCCGCCCCGGCGGGCCCUAAAGUCAGUGGCGGUGCCGUCCGGCUCCGAGCGUAGUAAUUCUUCUCGCUCUGGAGGUCCGGUCGUGUGCUCGCCAGCAACCCCCAAUUUUUUUCAGGUUGACCUCGGAUCAGGUAGGGAUACCCGCUGAACUUAAGCAUAUCAAUAAGCGGAGGA
rnacentral:misc_RNA from 1 species